AAAGUCGUCAAGCGUGACCGUGGUGCUUAAUUAAACGCUUCAAUCGUCAAGCUACAAUUGGUAUAAAAAUAGAACGGAAAAAUAAAUAAGGAAAAAUGUCGGUUUGCAGCUUACGCCACAGUGUUGCGCCACUUUAACACGUUGUUUACGCCCUCUGGUAAUUAAGUUGAAAAUCGUCUCGGGAGUCGAAAAUGUAAGCGGCCCUUUCGUACACUAUGGAAUGAUUUCAUGGGAAAAUAGAUUUGGCACAUUGAUGAGAUCUCGUCUUUGAAUCGAAUGAACUAUCAACUACAGUAAUUAACCUCAAUUACACGUUUCUGAUAGAUAAUUUUACCGAAAUCUUAAAAUGUAGAAUGACUAGAUUCAGCAAUUACACUCUUGACCGAGAAAGACCAGUCAACUUAUAAUUUUACGUAAUAGCCAUUUUCUUGGGCAAAAUAAUUUUUUUACUUAAAGAUUUUCUAUCUUUUUUAAUGUCGUUUCAUUUCUAUUAAAAACAAACUAUAUCAUACUUACAUUCGAAAGGGCUAAAACUAACCUUUAAUUAAAUUUAAUUUAUCUCUAUUAAGUUUUAACUUUUUAAUCAUAGAAACUUCUGCUUAAGGGAUCCGGUUAAUAGGUUAAGGUAAAGAUAAAAAUUCAAAGAAUUUGAUUUUAAUUAUCAUGCGUUGUAUGAUAUUGUUUUAUUUAUCGAAAAACGUAAUAUAUAAUUAAAGGCUGUUAAUAUUGUAAUAAAAAAUUUCGAAAUAUCGCGAUAUUAAGUAGUCCCAAUUAAAAUAUACGGCAAACGCAGUCAAUAAAAAACAGAAAAAGGAGUUUGCGUUUAAUUGCCUUUUCACGAAGUUUAUGAAUGCCACUUCAAAGUUUCAAACUGUACAAUAUUAAAUUCACGGAGAAAGAAGAGGCCUGACAUUCCAGUCUGUUUCUCUCGAAUGAACAGACUGCAAUAUUCUGGACAUUUCCGUUACAUAGAAAUGCAGCAUCAAGGGCAAAUGAAAAAAAAAGGAUGGAGAGAGACCAAGAGAUAGCGAAAGAAAAAUAAAGAAGUGGAAGAAGAAGAAGUGCAAGAAUUGAGAAGCGAAUGAAAGCAUGGUAUGCGUCAACAGCGAAGAAAG